AACAGAUGGCUGUCAUAUAGAGAUUCAACCGCGGAGGAUAAAAGCCGUUGACUAUUAUAAUUAUAAGGGUUGGUGUUCCGUGGUUUUGCUCGCAUGUUGCUAUCAUAGGUCAAAAUUUACCUACAUUAAUAUUGGGUCGGCAGGAAGAAACAACGACUCCUAUAUCUUUGAAAGAAUUUCAUUGAAAAAAUUUCAUGAAUUCAGUGAUAUUUUCUCUCGAUAAGCAAGAGUAAUAGAAGGCGGUCAGAUACCCGUCGGUGGAGGCGAAAGUUAUAAGAAAUACGAUCGCAUUAAGUUUUCAUAAGUGGAAGCCCGAAAGCCACUGUGUGAGACUUGAACCCACUAAACAACCUUUUAGGAAUGAAUGGAGAAGAUUUCCACAGCAUUGUGAAAAUUUCAUUCCAGUAAUCUGGGGAGAGAUGAGUAAAAAUAGACUUAGUAUCUAGCGAGCAAGAUUUAUCUAAGCCAGAAACCAAGGGCGUACAUUAGGGAAAUUGGGUUAUAGAGAAGUUAUUAGGAAAUUAUUAGGCUCCAACAAUCGCAAGGUCAGCGCUAAUUUAGAAGGAUUCUAUUUAGCAUUUUUUUCUCUUAUUAUAUAUAACACCUUUGACAUUUUGAUGU